rnacentral:piRNA from 1 species
UACUUUCUCUUGUUAAGGUCCUAUUACAUA